ACGUAGUCAAUCUACCCUAUGGACGGGAAUAACCUCGGGAAACUGAGAAUAAUGCCCGAUAGAACAUUAUGCCUGGAAUGGCUUAUGUUUCAAAUGAUUUAUCGCCAUAGGAUGGGACUGCGGCCUAUCAGUUUGUUGGUGAGGUAAUGGCCCACCAAGACUAUUACAGGUACGGGCUCUGAGAGGAGUAGCCCGGAGAUGGGUACUGAGACACGGACCCAGGCCCUAUGGGGCGCAGCAGGCGAGAAAACUUUGCAAUGUGCGAAAGCACGACAAGGUUAAUCCGAGUGGUUUCUGCUAAAGAAACCUUUUGUCAGUCCUAGAAACACUAACGAAUAAGGGGUGGGCAAGUUCUGGUGUCAGCCGCCGCGGUAAAACCAGCACCUCAAGUGGUCAGGAUGAUUAUUGGGCCUAAAGCAUCCGUAGCUCGUUUUGUAAGUUUUCGGUUAAAUCCAUGCGCUUAACGUAUGGGCUGCCGGGAAUACUGCAUAACUAGGAAGUGGGAGAGGUAGACGGUACUCGGGAGGAAGGGGUAAAAUCCUUUGAUCUCUUGAUGACCACCUGUGGCGAAGGCGGUCUACCAGAACACGUUCGACGGUGAGGGAUGAAAGCUGGGGGAGCAAACCGGAUUAGAUACCCGGGUAGUCCCAGCUGUAAACUAUGCAAACUCAGUGAUGCAUUGGCUUAUGGCCAAUGCAGUGCUGCAGGGAAGCCGUUAAGUUGCCGCCUGGAA
rnacentral:rRNA from 1 species